AGUGAACGCUGGCGGUAGGCCUAACACAUGCCAGUCGAACGGCAGCACAGUAAGAGCUUGCUCUUACGGGUGGCGAGUGGCGGACGGGUGAGGAAUACAUCGGAAUCUACUUUUUCGUGGGGGAUAACGUAGGGAAACUUACGCUAAUACCGCAUACGACCUACGGGUGAAAGCAGGGGAUCUUCGGACCUUGCGCGAUUGAAUGAGCCGAUGUCGGAUUAGCUAGUUGGCGGGGUAAAGGCCCACCAAGGCGACGAUCCGUAGCUGGUCUGAGAGGAUGAUCAGCCACACUGGAACUGAGACACGGUCCAGACUCCUACGGGAGGCAGCAGUGGGGAAUAUUGGACAAUGGGCGCAAGCCUGAUCCAGCCCUACCGCGUGGGUGAAGAAGGCCUUCGGGUUGUAAAGCCCUUUUGUUGGGAAAGAAAAGCAGCAGGUUAAUACCCCGCUGUUCUGACGGUACCCAAAGAAUAAGCACCGGCUAACUUCGUG
rnacentral:rRNA from 1 species